CAUUACGUACCCACGGUGCGCUUCCGCGGCUGGUCCGUUUCGACCGCCGUGCUUCGAACGUCUGCUCCUGCACCGGUAGCGACGUUCGAACAAGCGCUGUGCCGCCUCGGAUACGAGUAAUUGCCGCUGCUGCCGUUUCCGCAGCAUGGCAGUGAAAGUAAAUCCGUUGGCAUGGAGAGAAGCUUGCUCGGCGGGACGCUGCUUCCAUGUCCUUCCGAGCAUGCUACGUACGCUCGGCAAAACGCUUCCGUAGAGGCUCCGCCGAACGUUCGCUCGUUCGAUGGCAUCGUAUCGAGCGGGCGGACGCGGCAAACGUUGCUCAUUGCUGUGCUUCCAGGCUGCUGGUUUCCCGUCUGGCUGCGCUCGACGGACCCGAUCACGGCUAUGCCGUUGCUUAUACUGCUGACCUCAGAUCAGACUACGCUAC
rnacentral:misc_RNA from 1 species